rnacentral:rRNA from 1 species
UAACGGCUCACCAAGGCGACGAUUAGUAGCUGGUCUGAGAGGAUGAUCAGCCACAUUGGGAGUGAGACACGGCCCAAACUCCUACGGGAGGCAGCAGUGGGGAAUAUUGGACAAUGGGCGCAAGCCUGAUCCAGCCAUGCCGCGUGAGUGAUGAAGGCCCUAGGGUUGUAAAGAUCUUUUGUGCGGGAAGAUAAUGACGGUACCGCAAGAAUAAGCCCCGCCUAACUUCGUGCCAGCAGCCGCGGUAAUACGAAGGGGGCUAGCGUUGCUCGGAAUCACUAGGCGUAAAGGGUGCGUAGGCGGGUCUUUAAGUCAGGGGUGAAAUCCUGGAGCUCAACUCCAGAACUGCCUUUGAUACUGAAGAUCUUGAGUUCGGGAGAGGUGAGUGGAACUGCGAGUGUAGAGGUGAAAUU